UAACUGAAACUAAGCAAUCAUUCGAGUGACUGGGAUCUAAGCUGCAGCAACAAGGCUUAGCUACUGUGCAGGGAGCAGAGAUGACUGCUUUUAGCUCUUUUUACUGUGUAAUGCAGGCGCCAAACAGCCAAUAAAUGGGGAAGCUGGGUAUCACCACCCUGUCGAUCAGAGGUUCAUGGCCUUUCCUGAGGAUAACUUAGAGCUUAGAAGAUCACUCGGGAGAAGAUAAGAGUAGAUGGAGAAUGAGCCAUUAGAUGAGGUCUCUGAUGGAUUUCACAGUGAACGACAGGGGAGGGACAAAAGCACUUGGCCCAGGAAGCUACUACCCUUGGAGUUUGGAAGCUACUACCCUUGGAGUUUGGAGGUCUACACUACCCUGGCAUCACAAACUUUAUUCUAAUCACCCCACCAGUUUUACAUACACACCAUCACCCCAGUUAGCCACCACACUAAAGUUUCUACACCCAAGAGAAAAGCAGGAGUGAGGUGAUUGGAUAGUUCCAUUUCUGCUUCACUUCUUUUGGAAAAAGCCUCCAGAAAAUGAAUAGUGCUGCACCUUGCUGCUGAUAUCAGACCUCCAGUAAGUGAUGUAGGUUUUCACGUUUCCUGCUGCCUCAUUGUAUUAUUACUUUUGUGUAUUCUUAAUGAUACCCCAG